GACACACACAACAACUAAAACCCUUAUCCCCAAAACCAAAUUUCAAUCUUCAUCAGUUCUUCUCCUAUUCUUUCCAAUUUCGUUUUUUAUUUUCAUUAUCAUCGUUCACUAAUCUCAGAACACAGUUGUCAUCUUUUGUUAAUUGUUAUACAUAGCUGUUUCAUCUGGGGGAUUUAACUGGAAGAAGAAAAAGGAUGGGAAAACUGUAAAAGAAGCUCAUGAACACUUAAAAGAAUUGUCUUAAAUCUUGUGAAUCGGAUGGAUAAGUUUGUCACCAGGUUAAAACGCGGACAACCAAGCUCUAGUUCUACUAUUCCACCUGCUACUUCAUCCAUACCUUCGGAAGUUCGGAGGGAUACAAAUCCUUCAAAUAUCAAUUUCAAUUAUUUGAAAGCAGACCCGGCAAACAGAAGGCCUAUUGCAGAAUAUGACCCUAAUAUACGUGAUGAAGUUAGAAGAUAUUAUAUUCAGAAAGGACCUUGUCAGCCUAUGAAUCAUUAUUUUCCUAAAACUCAGUUUGGGAAGAAAAAGAAAACAAUGCGUCAGUUUCAUCCUGGUUGGUUCAAAGGUCGACAUUCCAAGUGGUUAGAGUACAGUAUAUCAAAAGAUGCUGCUUAUUGUUUGUGUUGCUAUUUGUUUAAAAAUGAGCAUGAUGUUCGUGGAAAUAUGGGAGAUGCUUUUACGAAAAAAGGUUAUAAGGGUUGGAUCAAGGCUAAGGAAAGAUUCAAAACUCAUAUUGGAGAGGUAAAUAGCAUCCACAACAAGUGUUUCAACAUGAUGAUUGAUUUGAUAAAUCAAUCACAAUCAAUUCGCACUUCUUUUGACAAGCGUAAGGAGAAAGACAAAAAUGAAUCUCGACAUCGCUUGGGUGCUUCAAUUGAUGUGGCAAGGUUUCUCUUAAGAUUAGGAUUGCCGUUUCGUGGUCAUGAUGAGAGCAUAUCAUCUACAAAUAGAGGUAUAUUUCUUGAACUUUUGCAAUGGUAUGGAGCCAUGAAUCAGGAAGUUGGAAGCAUUAUAUUACAAAAUGCUCCAAAAAAUGAAAUGAUGUGUUGUCCAAAAAUUCAAAAAGAUAUUGUUGAUGCUUGUGCAAAAGAAACAAUCAAAGCUAUUAUUGAAGACCUGGAUGGUGAUUAUUUCGGAAUACUGGUUGAUGAAUCGAAGGAUAUAUCACACAAGGAGCAAAUGGCACUUGUUCUACGAUAUGUUGACAAAAAAGGUGAAGUGAUAGAGCGAUUUGUUGGUAUUGUCCAUGUUAAUGAUACAUCUGCACGAUCAAUGAAGGAAACAAUCUAUUCUUUUCUUUCGGAUCACUCAUUAAGUCCAUCCCAAAUACGUGGACAAGGUUAUGAUGGUGCUAGUAACAUGCAAGGAGAACUAAAUGGUCUUAAAAGUUUAAUUUUGCGUGAUACUCCAUCUGCAUAUUCCACCUAUUGUUUUGCUCACCAAUUGCAGUUGACACUUGUGGCUCUUGCGAAGAAAAAUAUAGAUGUGGAUGAUUUUUUUUGUAUAGUUACUAAUGUAUUGAAUAUUGUUGGAGCAUCUUAUAAGCGCAGGGAUUUGCUCAGACAACAUCAAGCUGCAAAGUUAGAAGAGUUGCUCAUUUCUGGUGAAGUGCACACAGGACGGGGACUAAAUCAAGAACGUGGGCUUCAACGACCAGGUGACACUCGUUGGGGUUCUCAUUAUAAAACAUUACAGAAUUUCAUUGAUAUAUUUCCAUCAAUUCUUUAUGUUCUUGAAUUUGCUGCAUGUGAGUGUCCAAAUUAUAUCGAUAGACUUACAGCUGAAAGUCUUGCGGAUAAGAUUGUUACGUCCCGUAUUUUUAUACAUUGGGACAACCCGGAUUAAUUAUGAUAAUUUAAGGCCAAGAUUUUUCCGGGAUUUGAAGUCGGGACUUUUGACCAUUUGAUUUUAAUUUGAGAUAUAAGUCAUGUAUGAAAUUGAUGGCAUUGAACACUUAGGGAAAAUUGGGACUACAAUUCAUAAAAUUGGAAUUAAAAUGUUGUGCAAAAAAAAAAAAAUUCCUUGGUGGCCAUGUAAAUGGGAAUUGGUCCCACACAUUGUGUGGCCAAUUUUAAUUGGUCCACCCCAUGUGUGGGCCAUGGACACUUGGACAAUAUUCAUAUAAGCACAAAAGAUGACCAAGUAGUCAUCUUUUCUACCAUUCCAUCAAAAAAAAAAAGAGCAAGAAGUUGAAGAACAACUUCAACCACACGGCCAAGAACAAAAAAAAACCAAAUCCAAUUCAAGCCAUCCCAAAAUUAUUUCUUUGGUGUAAACCCACUAUUUUGAGGUCCCUAAGUAGUGUGGAAGUGUUGUUGGGGCGAUCAAAUCAUCCGUUUGGCAAGAUCACAAACCCUAACUAUUUGUGGGAUUGAAGAAGAAAGACCUUGGGGAGCCCGAGGCGUAGAUUUGGAUUAGCUUUAGAUUGGUUCGCUUGGAGUGCGUACGAGGUAUGUAAAGUAACCUUUCUUUUGGCAUGCCUUAGUUAAAGUAGGCCAUGAUACGAGCCUCUAGGAAACUCUAUUCUCGCAAAUCCGAGCUUGUCUAUGAUUCGUAUUUGUUUCCUUGGUAUUCUUGGGCGCAUAUGCCAUAACAUUGAUCCUUUUAUCCUCGGAGUUUAUAAUUUGUAAAGAUUUCAUGAAAGUUGAUUUUUGGUUUCAAAGCUCGUUCUUUAGCGAUUCCAAAAGUUCAAACGCCCAUAACUUCCUCAGAAAAGCUCGGAUUGCUUCGAAAUUUCGUAGGAGUUUGUAUGAUAUAAAAUGAGUAUGUUUUUCAUAGGCGGGCUCAGUUCGGGUCUAUACUCGUCUGUGGGUCCCGCGACGCCCUUUAUGUAAUUUCGGUAACUUUGGGAAGAAAAUGUUGUAAUUAUUGUUCCGAUUUCAAAUAUGACUAUUUUACUUAUCUUUUGGAUUUAUGAUAAUGAUUUUAUGCAUAUGAUUCCUCACUACUCCGCUCGUUCCCUAUGAUAUCGUUCGCCGGUUCCCGGGCCGGUUCGGUUGUCGUGCGUAUUAUGAUACAUUCCGGUGUUAUGCUGUGUUUAUGGUUCACCGAGCUCCUCGCUCGAGGGCCGGGUUCCAUAUGUGUUUGGCGUUAUGCUGUGAUUGGCGUUAUGCUGUGUUGUGAUGUGUGUCGGGGAUUCGGAGAUUUGAAACUUUCUGGUGUUAUGCUGUGUUAUGGCGCCAUCGACAGGCGGGCGACCAUAUUUUCCUGUGCCCUAUGCAUAAUUUAGACUUUGGAAAUAAACAUUUUGAUAUUUUUGGAUAUGUAUUAUUUUCCAUACUUCUGAUUCGAUUACUGUUCAAGAUUUAUUUCUGUACCUUCUGCUUUGCAUACUCAGUACAUAUUUCGUACUGACCCCCUCCUCCGGGGGCUG